GGGAGUACGUGUCGCUUGUGCCACUGUAACUUUAGAGAUCGGGACUUUGUGUGUUCAAGAUAUUCUAUCGUGAAAUAUUAUUUGUGAUUCUUUGUGAUUUUUUUUGGAUUUCUGAGGUUAGUGAAAGGCAAGGGGACAUGGAGUCCGCCGUCCAAUAUUUACUCCUCGCUUUGGCGCUGACUUCUGUGCAAAUAUCGUACACUGAAAGUCGACUAAAUGAAAAACGCAGAGAUAAAACCGAGAGGAGGCACCACGGGGCCCAGCCGAAGGAUAACAUCUGUGAGAUCACGAACAGAGAGUCUAAAGUGCACUGCUACUGUGAGAAGGUAGAGGUGAAGACGGCGACGCGAGCGGACUGCUGGGUGUUCAACGGAGGCAUCGACGAGCACGACCCAGUCUGGAGCAGCUUCGACUCGCAGCCGCAGCUCGAGCGGCUGACCUUCAACGUCCGCUCCGACGGAGCCCUCACCUUCAUCCCGCUCCACGUCAUCCGUCGCCUCAAACAACUACAGAAACUGUACAUUCAUUAUGCGACUCUUCCCAAAAUAGAAAAGAGAACGUUCUCGAAUAUGUCCGCCGUAAAGGAGAUUACGUUGAUGAACAACAAAAUAGCCGCGCUGGACUUCUCGUCGUUUACGAGCCUCCCCUCGCUCGUGAAUCUAACGAUAAAGGAGAACAAGCUGCAGGAGAUACAGAGGGACGUCUUCGUGGAGCUCCCCGCCCUCAAGUACCUCGACUUGUCAUUCAACAGCAUCAACUUGGCACACGACGGCUGCUUCGAGCAUCUGUCCGCCCUCAACGAACUCGUGCUGGAAGCUAACGCUAUGGCGGUUCUCACGCGAGACACGUUCCGGGGAUUGGGGAACUUGACGCGAUUGGAUCUCAGAUCGAACAAGCUGUCGAUGAUAGGAGACUUAACGUUCACUGAGUUGUGGAACCUGAACGAGCUGCUGUUAGACAACAAUGAGUUGAAAUACAUAUCGGAGAGGGCUUUCGACGGCUUGGCGUUGCUACAGAAACUGUCGAUGACUGGAAACAAACUGAAGUCGAUAAACGAAGGACUCCUGGAAGGAGUGCGCGGCCUCAACCUGCUCGACCUGCGCAACAACCAGUUAGAAUAUUUCAGCGAGGACACCGUGAAGCCGAUCCUGGAGAGUUUGAAGCUGAAGACGUCGGUGCUGUAUCUGAGCGGAAACCAACUUGUCUGCGAUUGUCGACUUAACUGGAUCAAAACUCUUCGAAACGAGACCACGAGCGAGCCGCUGAGAUCUGCCCUUGAUGACGUCACCUGUGUAACAGACGACAAAACGCAGACCAAGGACUUGAACGACAAAACUAGAAGUGAACACCUGUACGAAAUAGAAGCCAACAGUGAAGUGUUUCAACAAGAUGUCAACGAGGACUAUGAAGGAAUCGACCAGCACAAGGCGGACGCGGCUCCUGGACCCGCCACUCAAGUUGUCCUGGUGGAUAUGCCAGCCGAAUCCCUUCCCUGUCCGGGUAAGCCGAUACAGAACGGAGAGGACUCGCUGAUGCUGUCAUCAAAAGACGAAACUUACUGGAGGCCGAACUCUUCCUCUGUUUCAAUAUCAAGUUUAAGUUUAACACUAGCAUCGCUGCUGAUACGUAUCGCAUUUUGAAGUUUUAAUUUAAGUGUUUCAUGAUACGAAGUCACUUGCCAUGCACAUUCUACAUUCAAUACAUCGGCUUCGUCUAGAUGAGAUUUGUAAAUUGAUUUUUCCCUUGCUCUAAAAUAUAGCAUACCAUUAAUUCGUUUUCAUACUGUGUGACCAGCUGUCAACGUUUUCCCUGAUAAGUGGAACUGGCGUGCAACUUAGUAGAUUCUACGAUGCGAAAGAAACAAUCUGGCUGUAAGAUUGAAUAAGUUAAUGUAAUAAUGUAAGUGAGGCGUGUGCACGCCGCGUCGCCGCUGGUCGGGGAGCGUGGGACCACAUCGCCGGGACUGUCCGUCAGCUCCAUCUGUAACGGCAUUACGAAGCGUUUAACAGUUUCACUUUAGACAUUAAGAAUGAAGACUGGGUAUAAAAUUAAAUUAUUUUAGUGUAAUGUUCGGAAGAGGUUAAGUUAGCGACCGUUGCGGCUUUGUACAUUGCGCGGCGCCGGACCCCCGUACACUCGGAGAGCUAUAAAACGCUGAUAGUGAAGCCGGCCUGACCGUCUGGCCUGCGUCCAACUUGUUGAAAUAUUGAAAUAUUUCAAUUGCUUCCAACUCAUGUAUGCGUUUCACUUUAUUUAACGAAUAAAAUGUUUGCUUGUUUGAGUGUUCGGACGUUGUAGUCUAGUGAAGUCUAGUGAGCAGGUGACGGGAACGAUCUAGCUAAUCAAAAUAAAAUAUACUGUGAAUCUUUUCCUGAAACACAUCAACAAUAAAUCUUCUACAUUUUUUUUAAAUUAUGAGCACUAAGAGUAUUGUAAACAAAUUUAGUUUUAAUUUUAAAUAAAUCCAACAAUAUGUAAUAGCUAAGUUCGUUUUUCAAUAAAUAAUUUAUAGAUUACCACGUGGAUGUACAACGCGUUUGUCUCAUCCCCGGACGCUCGGCACACGGGACACAGUAGAGGAUUAUGCCUACAUUUACUCUUAUCAGUACCGAGCCCAACCUAUAGAACAAUAUUGUAAAACGACCUUAAAUCAUCAGAAAAAAAAGGAUCUCAAUCCUGAAACGGUCAUAUUUUUAUGUCUAUAAAACGUUUGUGAAUUAUUAUCAUGAGAAUUACCCGUACAAUUUUAAUUUAACAUCCAACUAUUGUCUAAAGGGAGACGAAGACAACAAUGUUUCUACGUUUUACAACAACUAUUUCAUUUUCCAAUUUCAAUUUGAACUAAACUUAAAUAUCUCAAACCUGACCUCCUGCUUCUUAUCGAGUUACAACAUAUGUAUGAGUAUAGAGAGGUAGCAGAAGCGAUUCUUUUUUUUAAAAUGGGACAACAGAGAUCUUGACGCUUAACCAGGACAGGUAGUUGGACUCGACAGCUUAGCCAAGAGGGACUUGCUGACAAGUGCCCGAGCGCCGAGGCCGCCUAAUAGCCCAAGGGCAGCUGCUUCGCGACUGAUUCUACUAUCGCGUAACGCCCCAGACCAAAUAAAUUUCAAAUUAGAUGUAAACGUCUGACAAUAUUUAAACAUAUACAAUACCUUUUCUGAAAAAUUGUCGCCAUCUUACUAGCUUAUUGGACCAUGAGUUUGAAUUAAAAAAGUCUGUAGCUUCUCAAUGCGGUUUUGUGAUGAAAUUUUGUAAUUUAGUUUAGGUGAUUAUUGUGUAUAAACUUACCUGUAAAUAUUAGAUUACGAUUUGUGAUUUUAUUAAUAAUAAAGUUUUUGGGAGAUC
rnacentral:misc_RNA from 1 species